rnacentral:misc_RNA from 1 species
AACUUGUUGCAACGGGUCUCGUGGCUCUCGCAUCGAUUAAGAACGCAGCGAAAUGCGAUAAGUAAUGUGAAUUGCAGAAUUCAGUGAAUCAUCGAAUCUUUGAACGCACCUUGCACCCUUUGGCAUUCCGAAGGGUAUGCUCGUUUGAGUGUCAUUGUACUCUCACACUCCCGAUGCUUUUGGAUUGUGAGUGGUGGACUUGGGUGUUGCUGCUUUACUGUGGCUCACCUCAAAUGGAGUAGUGCAACUCUUGGUUGGACAUAGUACGGCGUGAUAAGUGUCUUCGCCGGCGCCUCAUUAGAGGGUGGCCGAUCGGGAGCUCUGUGCUUCAAACCGUCUUCGGACAACAUCUGACAACUUGACCUCAAAUCGAGUAGGACUACCCGCUGAACUUAAGCAUAUCAAUAAGCGGAGGCU